rnacentral:rRNA from 1 species
CUACGGGACGCUGCAGUCGAGAAUCUUCCGCAAUGCGCGAAAGCGUGACGGAGCAAUGCCGCGUGGUGGAUGAAGGCCUUAGGGUUGUAAACACCUGUCACAUGGGACGAAUUUUGACGGUACCAUGAGAGGAAGCCAUGGCUAACUACGUGCCAGCAGCCGCGGUAAUACGUAGGUGGCGAGCGUUUUCGGAUUUAUUGGGCGUAAAGGGUCCGCAGGGGGUUUGCUAAGUCUGAUGUGAAAUCCCAGGGCUCAACCCUGGAACUGCAUUGGAAACUGGUGAACUAGAGUAUCGGAGAGGUAAAUGGAAUUCCUGGUGUAGCGGUGGAAUGCGUAGAUAUCAGGAAGAACACCGAGAGCGAAGGCAAUUUACUGGACGAUCACUGACCCUCAGGGACGAAAGCGUAGGUAGCGAACAGGAUUAGAUACCCGCGUAGUC